UACAGAGGUCUCAAGCGUUGUUCGGAUUCAUUGGGCGUAAAGGGUGCGUAGGCGGCGCGGUAAGUCGGAUGUGAAAGCUCGGAGCUCAACUCCGAAAUGGCAUUGGAAACUACCUUGCUUGAGGAUUGGAGGGGGGACUGGAAUUCUCGGUGUAGCAGUGAAAUGCGUAGAUAUCGAGAGGAACACCAGUGGCGAAGGCGAGUCCCUGGACAAUACCUGACACUGAGGCACGAAAGCUAGGGGAGCAAACAGG
rnacentral:rRNA from 1 species